UAAGCGGAGGAAAAGAAACCAACAGGGAUUGCCUCAGUAACGGCGAGUGAAGCGGCAAAAGCUCAAAUUUGAAAUCCCGCGGGAGUUGUAAUUUGAAGACCCGGUGUUUGGUGCGGGCCUGCUCCAAGUCCAUUGGAACAUGGCGCCUGGGAGGGUGAGAGCCCCGUCCGAGCUGCGCCCGCGCCGCUACAGCACCGCGUCGACGAGUCGAGUUGUUUGGGAAUGCAGCUCUAAGUGGGUGGUAAAUUCCAUCUAAAGCUAAAUACCGGCGAGAGACCGAUAGCGAACAAGUACAGUGAUGGAAAGAUGAAAAGCACUUUGAAAAGAGAGUGAAACAGUACGUGAAAUUGUUGAAAGGGAAGGGCUUGCAAGCAGACACGGGUUCGCCCGGGCCAGCAUCGGUUGAUCGGGGCAGACAAGACCGCGGGCAUGUAGCAGUUCUUCUGUGUUAUAGCCCGCGCGGAUGUGCCCACCUUCGACCGAGGCCUGCGAUCGUCUAGAG
rnacentral:rRNA from 2 species